UCAACUGCUGCUCCUAAACGGACGCCGCCUCUCUGCUCCCAGCGCUCCCUUCCUCCCUUUCUCCCAGCACUCCCUCCCUUUCUUCCAGUGCUACCUCCCUCUUCGUGGUGGCGUGGGGCUACAACACCACACGAUGAGGCAUGUGUGGUGGCCAUGGUGGCAUGAGGCCAUAGGCCACACAGUGAGGUGUGCCGAUGGUCGUGGUGGCGAGCGGCAUGGUGGUCCUAGUGGCAAGCGGUACGGUGAGGAGCAAGGGCACAGGCAACAGGCUUGAUCCGGUGGCACAAUAGAUCUGGUGGAGCCAAGGCAGAUUUGGUGGUGGGACUAUGGAGCAACGGUAGAUCUAGGUGAAGCCACCAUGGGAGCAUGGAGGGCAGCUGAUGUGGGCAUGGAUCUGGUUCUAGGAUUGGGUUAGGCUCGUCAAUGGGCUCAGAAAGAGGCUCACCAGUGGGCUCUAGUUUUUUUGUUUUUUAAUCUAUUAACCGAGGCAGGCAUUUGCAAGACGUUCAUCUCUGUUAAUAGAUAACUGAGGUGGCAAUGCAACUGCUUUCAUAGGUCACCAUUAACAGUGACCUUUGACCGAAGGCGGUUGCAAUGCCCGUCUCCAUUAAUAAUUUUUUUUGCCUCCAUUAAGAUUUAUGUAGUAGUGCUCCUCUCCCUUCUCUAGCAUCUCAACUCUCAUUAAUGGUGCAUCCCUCUCAUGCCUCUACUAUGUGGUGUUCUUGCAGUCGCUGAAGUAGAAUUGGUGUCAUGCGCAAUAAAGGCAAGUUGUUCCCUCAAAAUCCCCACCCUUUCUCUAGUUUUGGUAGAGAGGCAUGUAAAUCUAAUGAAUUUGGUUCAUGCCUUGUAGCCUUCUUUGAUUUGCGUUGUGUUUUGCAAAAGGCAAGUAUGUCUCGCUAUUCCCCUUUCCUUUCGCUCACUCCUUGUAAACUCCAAUCCAAUCCUUUAUGUCCAUUUUGUGUAAUGUCUUAGUGGUCUUUACCAUUUUAGGUUUGGAGCUGAGCUAUCCUCUAGUUAUAUAUUCUCUCUAUGCUUGUUCCUAUGUUGCUAUGGUAACCCAAAAUAAUCUCCUCUCCUCAUUUUGUGGUCCUCUUGUUUGCUUUUUAUUUCUAUGAUGCAUCUUCUCUAUGAUGAUGAUAAUAUGGUUUACAUUCUCAGGCAUAAUAUCUAGUUCUUCGUGGAUUGCAGACAAAACAAGUGUCUUGGUUGAUGGUAUUCUUCAUUAUAACUGAGCAAAUGCCUCUGCCUUUGAUGUCACUUUUGUUUAUACCUGAGCACUUGCCACGUCAUUUGAUGUCAUUAUAUUGUUCUGAGCAUACACCUUUGUCAAAUAUUUGCUUCUAAUCUAAUCUGAGUAGUUCCUAUAUUUUUUUCUUGUUGUGUUUAGAUGGUUUCAGGAAAUAGUAUGAGUGCACUACUUAUUCUGCAUGCUACUACUAUGGUCACGACUCUGUAUGAAAUCCAUUUCAAACUUAGAUUGGCUAAUAAAAAAUAUAUUGACAGUUAGUAAAUACUUAAAGGAGGUGUUGUUUGCUAUUGGUGAACUUAGAGAGAGAUGAUAAAAGCACCAUGAAAAUGAGGCACCAAUUAAGAUGUUGAUGCUGAAAUUUGGCUUAUCCAUACUUCAACAGUACUUUUCAGUGAAGGAAUAAUGUUUUCUCUUGCAACAUUUCAGCAUCAGCAUCAACAUAUGCCAAAUUUCAGCAAAACAAACAAGUUGAGAGGAAACAUUGUUCCAUUGACAAGUAUAGUGUUGCAGAACAGGACGAGUCUCAUGUCUAGAUGGACUAUGUGGGUGCAAUUGAUGGUAUCAUGUGUAUGCGAGUUCCUGCAAAUAUUUAAGUAGGCUCUCUAGGUAGAAAGCAUUAUGCCACUUAAAAUGUGCUAGCAGUUGUUGGUUGGUACUAGGUUUACAAGCCAUAAGAGAUGGCCUUUCCUCGACUUGUUGCCCCUUGUUGAACUUGCUGAAGGUACUUAUGCUUUUCUACUAGCAGUAUUAUUUUUUAUUCAAGUUGGACUGUAUAUCCAUUGUA